rnacentral:rRNA from 1 species
UACGUAGGGACCAAGCGUUGUUCGGAUUUACUGGGCGUAAAGGGCGCGUAGGCGGCUUGACAAGUCACUUGUGAAAUCUCCGGGCUUAACUCGGAACGGCCAAGUGAAACUGUCAUGCUAGAGUGCAGAAGGGGCAAUCGGAAUUCUUGGUGUAGCGGUGAAAUGCGUAGAUAUCAAGAGGAACACCUGAGGUGAAGACGGGUUGCUGGGCUGACACUGACGUGAGGCGCGAAAGCCCAGGGGGAGCAAAACGGGG